rnacentral:rRNA from 1 species
AUGGACGAAGCUUAUCAUUCCCAGAGAGCAUCCUCCAUGGCAAAGCAAGUUAGGAAGAAGGGUAAACAUCCAGCACUGAAUUUUAAUCAUGGAAGCGGAAGUACCUCGGAUGAGAAUUUUAUAGUGUAUAUUCCAAGACGACCAAUGCUUGAAACAGUGAGUGAGACAAUUGGCUUAAAAGUACAAGGGUACACCUGUUGGUAUGUUCAUGAAGGUAUGAUACAAGCGUCCGUAAUAAUUGCUAUUGUCUUAAAAGUACAAGGGUACACCUGUUGGUACGUUCAUGAAGGUAUGAUACAAGUGUCUGUACUAAUUGCUCUACCACGUCAAAAAGAUAGCUUCAGAGAAUCCUCCAUUACAUAUGAAGGAGAAGCAGCUAAUACAGAAGAUGAAGCAAUGGAAAAAUCAGCUCAGGUGCCCUUAGAAUGCAUCUGUGCAGACUAUAAUAUUUCUAUCAAUGAUCAUAAUUACUAUGCUCUUGAAGUCACAAAGGAAAGGUUGUUUACAGCAAGAGAGAAGGCUCAAACAAAGCAAUGGCAAUUCAAUAUAGCCCACCAGUAA